GCUGGGCAUGGUGGUGCAUGCCUGUAGUCCCAGCUACUUGGGAGGCUGAGGCAGGAGAAUCGCCUGAACCCGGGAGACAGAGGUUGCAGUGAGCCGAGAUCACACCACUGCACUCCAGCCUGGGCUACAGAGUGAGACUCUGCCUCAA
ensembl:misc_RNA Metazoa_SRP Metazoan signal recognition particle RNA